rnacentral:rRNA from 1 species
UACGUAAGGGGCAAGCGUUGUCCGGAAUCAUUGGGCGUAAAGCGCGUGUAGGCGGCCCGGUAAGUCCGCUGUGAAAGUCGGGGGCUCAACCCUCGAAUGCCGGUGGAUACUGUCGGGCUAGAGUGCGGGAGAGGCGAGUGGAAUUCCUGGUGUAGCGGUGAAAUGCGCAGAUAUCAGGAGGAACACCAAUUGCGAAGGCAGCUCGCUGGAACGUAACUGACGCUGAGAACGCGGAAAGCGUGGGGAGCAAACAGG